CAGCCCUAAACGAUGCGCGUUAGGUGUAUCGGUGACCACGAGUCACCGAGGUGCCGAAGGGAAACCGUGAAACGUGCCGCCUGGGAAGUACGGUCGCAAAGCUGAAACUUAAAGGAAUUGGCGGGGGAGCACAACAACGGGUGGAGCUUGCGGUUUAAUUGGAUUCAACGCCGGAAAUCUUACCGGGACCGACAGCAACAUGAAGGCCAAGCUGAAGACUUUGCCGGAUUAGCUGAGAGGAGGUGCAUGGCGUAGUCGUG
rnacentral:rRNA from 1 species